UACGUAGGGUGCAAGCGUUAAUCGGAAUUACUGGGCGUAAAGCGUGCGCAGGCGGUUUUGUAAGACCGAUGUGAAAUCCCCGGGCUUUAACCUGGGAACUGCAUUGGUGACUGCAAGGGCUUGAGAUCAGGAGAGGCGAGUGGAAUUCCGAGUGUAGAGGUGAAAUUCGUAGAUAUUCGGAGGAACACCAGUGGCGAAGGCGACUCGCUGGACUGAUACUGACGCUGAGGUACGAAAGCGUGGGGAGCAAACAGG
rnacentral:rRNA from 1 species